CAUCGUGAAGCUGAACAGCAUUAACCUUUUAAGUUAAAGAAUGGAAGUACUAACCUUCCCACAAUGA
rnacentral:tRNA from 1 species